UCGGGAAUUUUGUGCAAUGGGCGAAAGCCUGACACAGCAACGCCGCGUGAAGGAUGAAGUCCCUCGGGAUGUAAACUUCGUAAGAAUAGGAAGAAUAAAUGACGGUACUAUUUGUAAGGUCCGGCUAACUACGUGCCAGCAGCCGCGGUAAUACGUAGGGACCAAGCGUUGUUCGGAUUUACUGGGCGUAAAGCGUGCGCAGGCGGCUUUGCAAGACAGAUGUGAAAUCCCCGGGCUCAACCUGGGAACUGCAUUUGUGACUGCAAGGCUAGAGUACGGUAGAGGGGGAUGGAAUUCCGCGUGUAGCAGUGAAAUGCGUAGAUAUGCGGAGGAACACCGAUGGCGAAGGCAAUCCCCUGGACCUGUACUGACGCUCAUGCACGAAAGCGUGGGGAGCAAACAGGAUUAGAUACCCUUGUAGUCCCUGAGCGGGCUGGCAAGGCGCAU
rnacentral:rRNA from 1 species